rnacentral:tRNA from 1 species
GGAGAGGUACCGAAGUGGUCGUAACGGGAUCGACUCGAAAUCGAUUUGGGGACCAAAAGUUCCCACGGGGGUUCGAAUCCCCCCCUCUCCGCCA